CCUACGGGAGGCAGCAGUAAGGGAUAUUGGUCAAUGGGGGAAACCCUGAACCAGCAACGCCGCGUGAGGGAAGACGGUUUUCGGAUUGUAAACCUCUGUCCUCUGUGAAGAUGAUGACGGGAGCAGAGGAGGAAGCUCCGGCUAACUACGUGCCAGCAGCCGCGGGAAUACGUAGGGAGAGAGGGGUGUCCGGAUUUACUGGGGGUAAAGGGGGCGGAGGCGGUUUGGCAAGUCAGGAGUGAAAUCCAUGGGCUUAACCCAUGAAAUGCUAUUGAGACUGGCGAGUUGUAGUGAAUUAGAGGUAGGCGGACUUCCCGGUGUAGCGGUGAAAUGCGUCGAUAUCGGGAGGAACACCAGUGGCGAAGGCGGCCUACUGGGCUUUAACUGACGCUGAGGCACGAAAGCGUGGGUAGCAAACAGGAUUAGAUACCCGAGUAGUC
rnacentral:rRNA from 1 species